rnacentral:rRNA from 1 species
UGGGGAAUAUUGCACAAUGGGCGAAAGCCUGAUGCAGCAACGCCGCGUGAGUGAUGAAGGCCUUCGGGCUGUAAAGCUCUGUCUUCUGGGACGAUAAUGACGGUACCAGAGGAGGAAGCCACGGCUAACUACGUGCCAGCAGCCGCGGUAAUACGUAGGUGGCAAGCGUUGUCCGGAUUUACUGGGCGUAAAGGAUGCGUAGGCGGAUACUUAAGUCAGAUGUGAAAAUCCCGGGCUUAACUUGGGAACUGCAUUUGAAACUGGGUCUCUAGAGUGCGGGAGAGGAAAGUGGAAUUCCUAGUGUAGCGGUGAAAUGCGUAGAGAUUAGGAAGAACACCAGUGGCGAAGGCGACUUUCUGGACCGUAACUGACGCUGAGGCAUGAAAGCGUGGGGAGCAAACA